rnacentral:rRNA from 1 species
UGAGGAAUAUUGGUCAAUGGGGGGAACCCUGAACCAGCCAUCCCGCGUGCAGGAAGACAGUUCUAUGGAUUGUAAACUGCUUUUCUUGGGGAAGAAUAAUGACGACGUGUCGUCAGAUAACGGUACCCGAGGAAUAAGCAUCGGCUAACUCCGUGCCAGCAGCCGCGGUAAUACGGAGGAUGCAAGCGUUAUCCGGAUUUAUUAGGUUUAAAGGGUGUGUAGGCGGAUGUAUAAGUCAGUGGUGAAAGUCAGCAGCUUAACUGUAGAAUUGCCAUUGAUACUGUAUGUCUUGAGUGUGGUUGAGGUAUGCGGAAUGUGUAAUGUAGCGGUGAAAUGCAUAGAUAUUACACAGAACACCGAUUGCGAAGGCAGCAUGCUAAGCUACAACUGACGCUGAUGCACGAAAGCGUGGGGAUCAAACAG